GUUAGGGAUAACAUUAAAUGAAAAGGACUUGGGAACCAUUAUAGAUCACAAACUAGUAAUGCAUGUCUGCCAUUGCAUAAGUUACUAAGGUGCUUUCAUACAUAAAAAUGUUUUUUAUCCACAUGAUCCAAAUAACAUUUUGCCUCUUUACAAAUCAAGAGGUGAGUUACAAAACUAGUAAGGGGGAUGGAAAACAUUAGUUUUGAGGAAAGGCUAG